GUGCUCGCGUUGCCAGCACAUAUACUAAAAUUGGAACAAUACAGAGUAGAUUAGCAUGGCCCCUGGGCAAGGAUGACACACAAAUUCGUAAAGCGUUUCAUAUUUUU
ensembl:snRNA U6 U6 spliceosomal RNA